AACCCGUUCCGCCAAACCCAUCC
rnacentral:siRNA from 1 species